GACGAACGCUGGCGGCGUGCUUAACACAUGCAAGUCGAACGGAAAGGCCCUGCUUUUGUGGGGUGCUCGAGUGGCGAACGGGUGAGUAACACGUGAGUAACCUGCCCUUGACUUUGGGAUAACUUCAGGAAACUGGGGCUAAUACCGGAUAGGAGCUCCUGCUGCAUGGUGGGGGUUGGAAAGUUUCGGCGGUUGGGGAUGGACUCGCGGCUUAUCAGCUUAUUGGUGGGGUAGUGGCUUACCAAGGCUUUGACGGGUAGCCGGCCUGAGAGGGUGACCGGCCACAUUGGGACUGAGAUACGGCCCAGACUCCUACGGGAGGCAGCAGUGGGGAAUAUUGCACAAUGGGCGGAAGCCUGAUGCAGCAACGCCGCGUGCGGGAUGAUGGCCUUCGGGUUGUAAACCGCUUUCGCCUGUGACGAAGCGUGAGUGACGGUAAUGGGUAAAGAAGCACCGGCUAACUACGUG
rnacentral:rRNA from 1 species